CGCUUUAUAGUGUAAAAAACAUAUUGUAUUUUCAUUACAAAGCUGAAACUUUUUCUAAAGCAU
rnacentral:tRNA from 1 species